GCCCUGGUAGCUCAGACUGGUAGAGCACCUCACUGGUAAUGAGGGGGUCGCGGGUUCAAAUCCCGCCCAGGGCU
rnacentral:tRNA from 1 species